rnacentral:rRNA from 1 species
UACGAAGGGUGCAAGCGUUACUCGGAAUUACUGGGCGUAAAGCGUGCGUAGGUGGUUUGUUAAGUCUGGGGUGAAAUCUCCGAGCUCAACUCGGAAACUGCCUUGGAUACUAUUAGCCUUGAAUUAUGUUGAGGUUGGCGGAAUAUAACAUGUAGCGGUGAAAUGCAUAGAUAUGUUAUAGAACACCGAUUGCGAAGGCAGCUAACUAAGCAUAUAUUGACGCUGAGGCACGAAAGCGUGGGGAUCAAACAGG